rnacentral:rRNA from 1 species
CCUACGGGAGGCUGCAGUGGGGAAUAUUGGACAAUGGGGGCAACCCUGAUCCAGCCAUGCCGCGUGUGUGAAGAAGGCCCUCGGGUUGUAAAGCACUUUCAGUGAGGAAGAACGCCUGGUGGUUAAUACCCAUCAGGAAAGACAUCACUCACAGAAGAAGCACCGGCUAACUCCGUGCCAGCAGCCGCGGUAAUACGGAGGUUGCGAGCGUUAAUCGGAAUUACUGGGCGUAAAGCGCGCGUAGGUGGCUUGAUAAGCAGGUUGUGAAAGCCCCGGGCUCAACCUGGGAACGGCAUCCGGAACUGUCAAGCUAGAGUGCAGGAGAGGAAGGUAGAAUUCCCGGUGUAGCGGUGAAAUGCGUAGAGAUCGGGAGGAAUACCAGUGGCGAAGGCGGCCUUCUGGACUGACACUGACACUGAGGUGCGAAAGCGUGGGUAGCAAACAGGAUUAGAUACCCCUGUAGUC